UAAUAAAGUAAUAAAUUUAAGAAUGCAAGGCGUAGGUUACGCCUUCUACCGCCCUCUGUCGGAAAUCGGCCGGAAGUCAUCGACCGUGAGCUGUCUGAUCCUGGAUCGGCCUUCCUCGCCAUCUAGCGUGGGAUAGCUGCACUCUUGUAUUCCUCUAUGGACUUACGUGGAUCAUAGUUGCCAUUUUGAAAAAUAGAAGUAAAUCGUCAUCGGGCGUUUGCCUUCCUUCCUUUUAUUCGUAACCAGACUUAAUUAUGGGUUUUUUUUUAAGCUCCGCGUUAAUCGCGAAGAGUUUAGUAUUAUAUUUUAUUGUUGACUUAAUUUCCAUUGAACGUCCGGAGCCGGCUGUUUGCGGUGCGAGCCGAUUUAGGCUUGGCAACACUAGUCCCGUCCAAAAUGGCGAAUGAGAUGGGAUUUCUUUUUGCCGGAGAGAGAGAUGAAGGGAUAUCGUUGGCCCAGGCCAAAAUCGGGCGCAAUCGCCCGUUUGACCCCGGAAUCGGACGUGAAUAAAACCAUGUUCUGAUGGUGAUAGGCGACGCCCAGCGUGCCCGGAUGUCGAAAUAGGUGCAAUUUUGCCCUCUGCUGGCCCUUUCUCCAUCAACGGGUUCACGCCGCGUCGCCUAAACCUCGCGCCGGCCGCGAGAGGUUCCCCUGGUAUCCCGGUAACUUGUGGGCAGCAGAUUGCUGCUGUUCUACCUACUUCCGACGUUUCACCCCAAGGCUGCUGACGUGGCAGUUGUGGUGUUUCGAGGUCAGAUCUUUCCACGUUUACUUAUUGACUGAAUGAACCGGCCUUUCGGUCCUGGCGCCCUUCCGUGUAACUACCUUAAUAUAUAUUGACCGCUGUAUCCGUUUCUACCAGUAAUGAUAAUUUAGAGCUCGCUGACCCACGUUUGUUCCCUUAAAAUAUAAACUCAACAUUAUUGUUCUCGUGAGCUAGCCCUCGGCAAACAAUUGUUACCGUGUAUCUAGGUUAACAAAUUAGCAUAAACAAUUUAGAUUUUUUUUCCUGAAUUCAAUAAAUACCGGGUUCCUCUUCAA